rnacentral:rRNA from 1 species
GACGAACGCUGGCGGCGUGCCUAAUACAUGCACGUAGAACGCAGUUGCGAACGGGUGAGUAACGCGUAGGUAACUCCUUCCUAGCGGGGGAAACUUAUUGGCAACGUUAGCUAAUACCGCAUACUGUGAGAUGGACCUGCGUUGUAUUAGCUAGUUGGUGAGGUAAAGGCUCACCAAGGCGACGAUACAUAGCCGACCUGAGAGGGUGGUCGGCCAAACUGGGACUGGGACACGGCCCAGACUCCUACGGGAGGCAGCAGGAGGGAAUCUUCGGAAAUUGACGGAAGUCUGACCGGGCAACGCCGGGUGAGUGAAGAAGGUUUUCGGAUCGUAAAGCUCUGUUGUGAGAGAAGCGUUAACUAACCAGAAAGGGACGGCUAACUACGUGCCAGCAGCCGCGGUAAUAC